CUCACAGGUGACACCACCCAGCCACCCAAAGGCACGUCUAUGAAGGACAGCUCACACACAGAAAGAAUGUAAGUCCAUAUGCUCUCAGUUUUGGAAAAAUAAAAAUAGAAGAAACCCCUGCAAAUAUAUUUCUCUCCUAUUGGUGGGAUUACAGUUGAGUUUUACUCCUUUCACUCAACUUUCUCAUUUUUAUACAAUAAACAAGCACUGAUAUCCCAGCAAAUGUUACCCAUGUGUUUCAUACGUGCAGAAUAAUCACUCCAGAAGUCACCCAGUGGGGAGUCCUGGGCCCUUGCCAACUAACGCAGUUUUGUUCCACAGAACCAUGAAAGCAGUGACUGGAUUUUUGUUUAUUUUGACCCCUCAAAACGCCAUUGAGAUGACAACUGUCCAACUUUGAAAACCCACAGAAUAAACUUCAGGGAUCUUUUAUGGCUUCAUCUGUGGAUCAUGCUGCGGACUAAAACACAGUGGGGCGGGCGGCCAAGCUGCAGCUGGGCUGUGGACAGGGGCGCUGCUUGGGGCGCACACUCCCCGGCAUCAGGACCAUGCCCGAGUGGGAGGGAAGCCCAGAUAAAAGGCACACACGCUGGGGUUCGCGCCUACACACAAUGACAGGCUGGCAUACGUGCUUGCUGAUCC